rnacentral:lncRNA from 1 species
GAUCGGUACAUACGUUUCAGUUUUAUUUAAUAAGUAGUUCGGUGCGGUUUGGUUUUAGAAAUUGAAAAACAAAAGAACUGAAUAAAUCGAACUGAUUGAAUUCUUUAUUGAGUUAAUAUCUAUUAAACUCUAUUAAUCCCCGUUUCUUUUGCCACGUGUCAUGUUUAUCUUAAUCCACGCUAAUUCAAUUCAUGUCAUCAAGCCACCUCAGAUCCAUUUGUUCAUUCGCCCCGGCCGCUUCGAUCGAUCCCUCGCCUCUUCGAUCCCUUCUCCAUUCCCGCCACUUCAAUCCCUGCCCCGCCGCUUCGGUCCCUCCCCCACUCCCGCCACUGCGAUCUCUACCCCGCCUCCACCCCGCCUCCUCUUCGAUCCCUCCUCUGCCUCUUCCAUCUCUCUCUACGCUUCAUCAUCUCCUUCCUCAAAACCCUAAUAAUCAGAGAGAGAGAAGAGAGCACGCACGACGCCUCUUCUCUUUCACCUACCUCCGCCUUUCAC